AGUUUUAUAGUUAAAUUUUAAUAAUAUUAGAAUGCAAUUCUAAAGGUAUAAUUAAUUUAUUAAAACUU
rnacentral:tRNA from 1 species